rnacentral:rRNA from 1 species
AUGGCUAAAUACUAGUGGGACAGUUCGAUUGACAAGCGUUCGCUACACUGGCUCUCGUGGGACAAGCUCGAGGUGCCUAAAGUAAGGGGUGGCAUGGGUUUUCACAACAUGCAGUCCUUCAACCUCGCUAUGCUUGGGAAACAUGGUUUGCGUCUUCUUACAAGACCGGGCUCUUUGUGUGCUAGGGUACUGAAAGGAAAAUAUUACCCUCACACAGAUUUUCUCAAUGCAACAGUUCCGGCCAAAGCGUCGAUGACCUGGAAGGCAAAAGUGGCAGGACGAGAUGCACUACAGGUUGGUCUCAUUCGUCGAGUUGGCGAUGGAUCAACCAUCUCAACAUGGACUGACAGCUGGAUUCCGAACACGACCACAAUGAAACCUACGGGGCGUAUUGUGUUGGAAAUAUGCCGUAGAGGCAAUAAUAAAAUGAUUAUUAUUAUAUUUCCUUGUUCAUGA